rnacentral:rRNA from 1 species
AUCCUACGGGAGGCAGCAGUGAGGAAUAUUGGUCAAUGGGCGGGAGCCUGAACCAGCCAAGACGCGUGAGGGAAGACGGCCCUAUGGAUUGUAAACCUCUUUUGUCGGGGAGCAAAGAGAUCACGUGUGGUCAAAAGCGAGAGUACCCGAAGAAAAAGCAUCGGCUAACUCCGUGCCAGCAGCCGCGGGAAUACGGAGGAUGCGAGCGUUAUCCGGAUUUAUUGGGUUUAAAGGGUGCGUAGGCGGGGCGGUAAGUCAGCG